rnacentral:misc_RNA from 1 species
GGAGUAAAAGUCGUAACAAGGUUUCCGUAGGUGAACCUGCGGAAGGAUCAUUAAAGUUAUAGUCCCCUGGCCCUCUGGGCUGGGGUCUUCUAUACCACCCUUUGUUUAUUACACCUUUGUUGCUUUGGCAGGCCUGCCCUCGGGCUGCUGGCUCCGGCCGGCUCGCGUCUGCCAGAGGACCUAAACUCUGUUUGUAUAUGAAGUCUGAGUACUAUAUAAUAGUUAAAAUUUUCAACAACGGAUCUCUUGGUUCUG